rnacentral:rRNA from 13 species
GUCAAGUGACGAAGCGUGCACGGUGGAUGCCUUGGCAGCCAGAGGCGAUGAAGGACGUUGUAGCCUGCGAUAAGCUCCGGUUAGGUGGCAAACAACCGUUUGACCCGGAGAUCUCCGAAUGGGGCAACCCACCCGUUGUAAGGCGGGUAUCACCGACUGAAUCCAUAGGUCGGUGAGGCGAACGCGGGGAACUGAAACAUCUAAGUACCCGUAGGAACAGAAAUCAAUUGAGAUUCCCUGAGUAGCGGCGAGCGAACGGGGAUUAGCCCUUAAGCUAAUGAUUGAUUAGGAGAACGGUCUGGGAAGGCCGACCAUAGUGGGUGAUAGUCCCGUAUCCGAAAAUCUGAUUCAGUGAAAACGAGUAGGUCGGGGCACGUGUAACCUUGACUGAACAUGGGGGGACCAUCCUCCAAGGCUAAAUACUCCUGACUGACCGAUAGUGAACCAGUACCGUGAGGGAAAGGCGAAAAGAACCCCGGAGAGGGGAGUGAAAUAGAUCCUGAAACCGUGCA